CUUGUUCAGGAAAGAGUUAACUCAACAGGUCUGGGAUAUUCAAAUCCCACACAUUUCGAAAAAAAGUUCUCUCCUCAUUGGCUCCUGGGAGAAAAUCUCUACGUCUUUGGACUAUUCUUCCAGAUUGGAGACUGAAAAGAAGAGAAGUUAAGGAACUUGUCUAAGAUUAUCAAGCAAAAAUUUAAAGCUGAAGUUUCAAUAUUUUCUUAGAAAACAAGAAAAGUUAGUGAUCUCAUUAUAGAAGACAGACUGUCAGGGCAGUUUACCAGGAGACAGCUUUUACAAUGAGUGCACUGGCAAGAAGAAGGAAAAAGCCAUUUUUGCUGCUUCAUGUGUUGCCUACACAGCGACUGUUACAGUGGCUUCAGCAGAAUCAGUGGUGGUGUCAACAGCAUCUGGAGCAGAGAGGGCAAGCUUAGUUCAUAUGAAGCAGCAAUAGCAACAGAAGAAAAGGCAGUGACAUCACCCUCAGCUUGUUGGAGGAGCCUAUGGGCCAGCUAAUGAAAAAUACAGGAGUCUGAAUAGCAGGGCAAAGCUCUGGGUGUCAGCAAUAUAUUCAAGUAGAGAUAAAUAGAAGAAGAUGUGAAGAAGUCAAUGAUAGGGUGUUCUGAACUUACCUGGUGACUAUGCCAAAUGGACAAUCAUUCAGAAAUCAGGCUCUGGGAGGUUUUGCUAUCUUCAGUAAUGCCUUCUAAGGUUUUUCGGGAAUCAUCUCCAUUCCAGCUAAUGAGAAAAGGAAGAGAGUAUUUUGGAUCAGUUCUGGAAAUGGUGUCUGGGAUUUCCUGUCUGGCACUCAUUCUCCUGUCACCCUGUGAAGAGGUGCCUUCUGCCAUGAUUAGAAGUUUCCUGA
rnacentral:lncRNA from 1 species